GAUCCUGUUGGCGAUUCUUUCAGAAAUAAGAGUGAUAACCAAAGUAAUAUGAUUUGCAACCAAAAUAUUCAUGUUGAACAAUUGAUGACCUAUAAAUAUAUAUACUCGUAGACUUUGUCAGUAACAAAGAAAUGUUUUAUUCGCAUGUGAAUUGUUCCUUUCAAAAAAUGAGGAAUCGUUAUCGGUGACAAUUUUUUAUUUUUUUUAUUUACAUUGAACUAAUGGCAGACUGCUGCACACGGCUGACAAACAUCAUAUUUUCAGGAUGUCGUUGUAAUUAAUGAUCAAAUAUGUAGUGACGUCACCUAGCGUUUACAUUUACCGCACAAAGUAUGAAGCAGAUUAGAAGCAGACCAUUAGUGUAUUUGUUUUGAUAAUGGAAAUCCCUUAUUUUGUUGUUAAUUGGUUAUCUGUUGAGAAAAAAAACACUUAAUCAGAUAAAACACCUAUCACAGUUUUUCAUCUAUUAUAACUGGUACUCAGGAUCUGUUAUCACUCUACUUGCAUGUACCCUGCCACACGGUGCGGCUAAACAGGAAUCCCCAGACUCACCAGCGCCACGGAAGGCCGUAAAGGAAAAGAAGGAGAGAGAUAGGAAGAAGAGGAGAAGGAAGAGGAAGAUCGGACUCUUAGAACUUGACGAAAGAAACGAAAGAACAGCAUCAUGAUCAACUCAAACAAACAAAAAAGCAGGAGAGAGGGAGGCACCGCGUCUCUCAGAACACUCAGUACUCACCCCAGCGUUGGAGAUGUUGAGCACUACCACCGUGAGGAGCACCAACCAUCGCUGCUUGUACACGCGGUAGGUGGUGUUGGCUGGGGGAUGGGGCGUGGACCUUUCUAGUGGACUGCCGCCACGCCCUCCCUCCUCCUGCAGCGCUGCACCGCCCACCAUCACCCCGACGCUCUCCUCACUCGUGCUGUCUCCACUCAUGCUUCCCAUAUCUGUGACGAGACGACUCAUGGACAAAGUAUAUUGUUCCGGCGUGCCCUUUGUUUAACAUUAUUCACAAUGACUGUGUUAUCAGAGGCGAUAGGAGGGAGAGGUGUGUGCUGCAAGAUAUGUCUGUUAGGGUCACAUUGGACCUUCAGGGGUAACAAGAUGAAAGCACCGUGGAUGUUACUUAUCACCUGAAGCGAAACGUAAGGUUAUAAUAUAUGUAUAGUGUAUAAUUACGAGUAUAUAUGUGCUUACGUAUAAAGAGGCAUCAUCA